AAAAUAGCAGGGACGGAACAAUAACACCUAAUAGCAUCAGUAACUUGAUAACCCUACCUGAUAGCCUUUCUAAUGUUGGCACAUUGGUACAUCUGCACAAAGAUGUCGGACAGCUGCUUGAAGAUCUUCCUUUGGAGAAAUUUUACACUCGAAAAAUACAAAACCCCAUGUUCUGCUGCAUGCUGGACUUCUGGACUUCACUUGUUUUUGCCAUCACAUCCCUCAGUGCUGCAGUCAGACUGGAACAGAGUUGUGAGGUGAGGCUGUCCAUGCCUGAGAAACCGAUUCAUACUGAAGAUGAAGAGACCACACCAGCAUCUGGCUCAGAUGAGGACACGCAGGCAGGUGGAGGGAUGCAGGGUCUUGUCCAUGGCACUACAGCAUCUUCAACAUUUACUUCAUCAGCACACUGCUGUUCUUCAUCAUCAUCACUGCACACACCAGUCUAAGGACAUUUCAGAUUAUGCAAAGCUCUUAAUAAAGAAGUCAUUUAACAGCACACUUUUUGAGUUUCAUUUGAGUUCUGAAUUGGAAGUAAUAACAUGAUCUUACUUCAUGUUUUGAAUUCAGGUUUUCUCUGUUUUCUUGCCUUGCAAGUCCUGCUCCAGCCCAGAAAUGGCAUAUAAAUCAACAUUAAAGAAAUUGUUGUAAUAGCAGUUUGAAACAACAAUAUUAAACAAAUAUGAUGGUAGCAUUUGUUCAGUCACUCUGCAUCAGCUAACACACAAACAUGUGUGCUUCCUUCUCUAUAACAACCAGACAAGUCAUAUUACCUCUGUGAUUUGUGUGCUCAAAAUUAUACUUUCAUAAAUGUAUCACCAACUGAACAGAAGAAAACAUUACUGUAUUAAUAUUACAUGUAUCUAACCUAAGCUGUAUUGACAAAAGUGCAUUCUACAUCAACACAAACAAAUCACUCAGACGUCUGUUUAAUGUUAUAAUUUGCUAAUCUGCAAUACCUCCUAUAUUUUUCUAUCAGACAUUGAAUAAUCGUCUUUAUGUAAAUUAACGUUUGAAACGUCAUGUGCUUACAGAAGUUCCUACAUGAUAAUUUACAGCAAGAUAAAAUAAAUAUACUGUAAAGCAUC